AUGUAGGAAGCACAUGCUGGAGGAUCCUGGGGAUUGACCAUUAUCAGUAAGUAGGAGGAAAUUAGUUACAAACUUUAGUUUGAAAAUUUCUAAGUCAUUCCUCAAUCCACCAAGAGUGGGUUACAGGCUGAAUUUGAAGACCCAAGUGACAUUUUGUUUUCCCCACACGGAGCCUGGGGUUCUCUACUGGUCUCCAGGAAUGUGUUUGGAAGGCUUGGGAAGACAAGUGCUUCGAGAUUGUAAUUUGAUGAGGACCUGGGGAAGAAAGGACCUUGAGAUGGCUCCGGGUGACAUUUUGAUAGUGUCCGACGCGGUCCUGAUUCAGCAACGGAAGGCUCUGGGUAAGCGAGGAAACAUGAUAGGAUCUGCUUGAGCAGCGAGCAUCCAGCUGUGCACACACAGGUGGAGUCUGGACCUUUCUGCCCUGCUCUGGCUUCCACAGCCUUUGCAGUGAUGUGAAGAAGCUUGGAGGAGACUCAGGGAACAGAGCCACCAACUUAACCAAAAUCUUGCUUAAUCAUAAUCAAAAUGUUAAGGUUUAAAGUCAAAACUAAGAGAACUAAGAUUAUUCAUGAAUGAAGAGAGAUCUUGUGGCGGCCUUCAAAUCUAUGAAAAGGGAUCAUUAGCAAAAAGAUGGUGACCAACUUUUCUCAGUGCACACCGAAUAUGUGAAAGAACAGGUGGUGACAUAAAAAUUGCUGAAUAGUGAAUGCUGAUAAAUAUUGAUCAACGGAAGAAGUUGGGUGAUGUCAUCUGAUGGAUGCGCCUUAGAAAAGCAGAUUGUACAUCUACGGUGCACACGGGUGUGGCCCUGCCUGCGGGUCUGAGAGCUAAUGAAAUUAUUCCUAAAGUUCUGGACAGACACAAAUUCUAUGAAUCUUGCCUGGAAUAUUUCCUUGAGAUUACAACUUGCUCUGGGCAAAUAUGGCCCUAAUAGUAACGUGAGAACAUGUUAGCUAGGUUUGUCUUUAUUUUCUGGCAGCUGCUUUCUCCUAAAUCCAUCCAAGGAUACACUUCUGAUAUCUGAUUAGUCUUUAUUUUUGAUGACAUCAGUGAAAGCCCUGGUUCAUAGACGCAUACAGGUUUUCAUCUGUGUCUUCUCUCUGCUAUGAUUCCUUCUCUUUAUAGCAAGUUACUCAUCUCUCCUGGGUCUCAGUUUCUUAUCUGUAAAACUGAAAGAUUAUCUGUACCCUCAAGGGAUUUUUGUGUGUGUGAAAAAGAAAUCUAGUAGUGUGUAUAGGGUAACUUUAUAGUUCCCAGCAUAUUGUAAUAAAUAAUAGAAUGUUGCCA
rnacentral:lncRNA from 12 species